CCGCCGCCGUAGUCGUGUAACGUCAGACGUGUCGCCGCGCAGCAAAAACUUUCUCGUGGCCGCCGCCGGCGUACGUACGGCCGCCGAACGUCUCGUUUUCUGCACACCGCCACCGUAACAUACCGAUGGAACCGCCACCGUCGUGGACGCCGUUGCGGCGUUUCGUCUUCGGACUGAUUUUGAUAGGCUUCGUCCCACAGCAGGCGUUGCUCAGCUCCGCCCAGAAUUCGUCGAUUCUGGAAUACAUGAUUACCUUUCAAAAUGACCUAAACGAAGUGAGUAUUUCAACAUC